rnacentral:lncRNA from 1 species
AAAAAGAAGAUCACUCUUGACCCUCACAAGACUACUCUUAGUCUUAAAUGUUUUCACUCUUUGAAAAUAGACUUAGGACUCUUUCCUAACUCAAUUAUGCACUCCACACGUUUUUCUCUCAUACAAAAGCAUAAGGGUGCUGCCCAUUUUAUAAUAACAUGAGACAGCCUACUUUGCCCAUUUUUAGGCUUAGACACUUGCCCACUCAACCCACUACUUUAGCCUAGUGUAGUUGACAACCCCCAACUACUAGGAUCAUGUAAAUCAUGCUAAAGAAUAGUGGGAUCAUGGCCCCAAAAAUGUGCUAACACUCUUGCCAGCAUCUUAGCAAAGAUCAACCGCUGCCCAUGUGCACAACAUGUGUCGUAACCGUCCUUGACUUGGUCAACCCAAACCUUGUUGCCCAAUUUCGUGCCUUAGCUUGAACCAGGUGCCAAUGUCAUGUACUCAUCUGCAUUGUAGCCAUAAUUUGCCUAUGCCAUUGCCCACAAACUUGGCUCGUUUGCCGCAACUCAAUGCCAUGACAAGUCUGCCUGCACACUGCCUUCCCGUUGCACUUUGGCCUGCCUUUGCCACUUCAUUUUUGCCUUGCCUUGGCAUCAAUGACUCCUGCCUUGAUGCCUUUGCCAUGAUCAAGUGUCAUCCUCAGCCCGUAACUCAAUGUCAAGCCCUUGCCAAGCUGCCUUACCUCCAUCAAAGCUUUGUCCAUCACUUGCCCGUUUCCCUUUUUUGACUUGGUGCUACUCGUGCACCUGCCUUGCAACACUCUUGCUGCCUCAUAAUAGCGCUCUUGUUGUAAAGUCAAGCUCAAAGUGGCGGAGGUCUAACACUAGACUACCGAACAUAAGCAUAAUUAUUAGCUAUGUGCGAACUCUCGUCACUUCGUCCGUACGUAGCCCCCACAAAUAGAAGCACAUAUUAAUCAAUUCGCCUAUGAGGUUAAUUCCCUCUUACAAGGUUAGAAAAGAGAUUUAUCUCGUCUCAAAGCUUACUUUCCGGUCUCAAAUUCAUUCUAAAUCCUCAACUCGGUGCUGAACAAUCCAAAACUAGUCAAAUGGUAUAUAUAUUAAUCAAUACAUGUCCAAAAGUUCAUAUUCCAAUUAUUAAAGUUGUCACACUUCCUUUUUCCCAAGGGGAUAGGGAAUUGUUUUCAAUUAAAGUGACAUUAAUCAAAAUGGGAUUAUUUAUUUAAUUUCAGAGUUGCCACUUGGAAUACUUUAUGGUGUCCCUAGUCACCGGUUUAUUUUAAAUCCUAAAUCGAGGAAAUUGACUCUUAUUUAUGGUCUAUGAACACAGAAGACCGGGUAAGGAAUUUUGUUAACCCGAGAGAAGGUGUGAGGCACUCCCGAGUUUCAUGGUUUUAGCACGGUCGCUCAACUAUUAAUAAUUGGCUUAAUUAUCUUAUUUAUUACAUGUUUUAAACCUAUUGUGCAUUUUUAACUUUAUAACCGCUUUUAUUUAUUUAUGGAGUUUGUUUGAGCAAGUCGCGAUGUCGCACACUCAUUUGUUUUAUAUACAUUGCGAAUCGUGCCACGGGAACUGUACCCUCAAUCUACAACAUAUUUAUUUUUAUUAUUAUUUGGAACUAUAAGGUCGAGUCACGUGAAACACACACUCUAAUGGGAUUUAUGUAUCACGAUUAUGUCACGGGAACCAUACCAAUAAUCACGAUAAUAUUUUAUUAAUCGCGCCCAAAGCAAACUAAUGAAGAGGCACAUCGCGAUUGGGGACAUCUCGUCGACCAAUUACAACCGAAAUGGCAUCAGCCUUAGCAAACAAGAAUAAGCAAAAAUAAAAGGAAAACAACUUCCUAGAAACAAACCAAAUGUACAGAUGAAAAUUAAAUCUAUUAACUAUGGUAUCUCAUUUACAAAGAUAGUUAGGGUCAAAGCUUACUCGUGGUUAACCAACCCUCAACAGUAAUAUACAAUUACCAAAUUUUAUAAUUUCCACAACACAAAAAUACCCCAAAAGAUUCAAUCUUUGCAUGAAAUUACAACUACUUUCAAUUCAAGAACACAAAAUACCAACUCAUACUACUAAGUAAGUAAAUUAAGAAGCUACACAAAAUCUUUCACAAAAAUUAUUCGGAGCCCAAUUGAAAUUGCACUCAACUAAUACAAGACACAAAAAAUUACAACAAAUAAAGGUUAAGAAUCUUUCUUGUGGGGACCCAAGAGCAGAAAUCAAGAAAAUUCUUACCUUAAAUCUUUUUCAUUUUUUCCCUGUCUUUGUUCGAUCUCACCCCUUUUUCCUUCUCAUUUUUUUUCGGUCCAGAUUCCCCUCCACUGUAUCUCGUCACUCUCUAUCUCUUUUCCCUGUUUUGUGUGUGUGUAUUUCGAUUGUGGUGUGAGGUUAGCCGGAUUUUGUAAGGUGGAGUUAUGAUUUUUUGCAAAUCGGAUUUUCGAGGAGGGGAAAAACGGUUGGCUCCUCUUGAAUAAGAGAAAUGAGAUAUAAAAAGAUG